rnacentral:rRNA from 1 species
AUGAACGCUGGCGGCGUGCCUCAUACAUGCAAGUCGAGCGAACGGACGAGAAGCUUGCUUCUCUGAUGUUAGCGGCGGACGGGUGAGUAACACGUGGAUAACCUACCUAUAAGACUGGGAUAACUUCGGGAAACCGUAGCUAAUACCGGAUAAUAUUUUGAACCGCAUGGUUCAAAAGUGAAAGACGGUCUUGCUGUCACUUAUAGAUGGAUCCGCGCUGCAUUAGCUAGUUGGUAAGGUAACGGCUUACCAAGGCAACGAUGCAUAGCCGACCUGAGAGGGUGAUCGGCCACACUGGAACUGAGACACGGUCCAGACUCCUACGGGAGGCAGCAGUAGGGAAUCUUCCGCAAUGGGCGAAAGUCUGACGGAGCAACGCCGCGUGAGUGAUGAAGGUCUUCGGAUCGUAAAACUCUGUUAUUAGGGAAGAACAUAUGUGUAAGUAACUGUGCACAUCUUGACGGUACCUAAUCAGAGAGCCACGGCUAACUACGUG